UGCCUCUGUGGGAGAAUGCCCCAGCCUUUGGGAACUAAGCAGACUGCCUGGCCAAGGAAGCAGGCACUGCGGCCCUAGGCACUUUUCUUGUCUCUAAGCAGGGCUCUGGAACCAGGCAGUGUCUGCUUGAGGACCACAAGUUGAAAGAGCUUUGGUGUUAACAACGGAGACCUACACGGGAAAAUCCAGUAGCUGUGGUUCUCAGGGUAUGGCCCGGACCAGUUGCCGCAGCAUUACCUGGGAAAUGGUUGCAAGUGCACGCAAAAAUUUGAGAACUACUGAUACUAGGGAUGAAGAAGGCCAUUUCAAUGACAGAUCUUAGGAGAAUUCAAGUCAUCAUUAGGUAUGGGAUUCCCAAACUGACAAAUGAGAACUGUCUGGGAAAGACAGGAAUAGAGAGGGAAACAGGAGGAUUCCCAGCACUGAAGGUUGGGCCAGACCUCACCAGGUCUCCAUGUGCUUCAAAGGACCAAAUAAGGUGAGCUUUAAAAAGGGGGAGGGGGGUUGAGAAGUAGAAAAGACCGAGAGAGGGAAGAGUGGGCCUGGACACAUUCACCCCACCGUUUGGGGUGCUCGGAACAAAAGGUCAAAUGGGGACACUUAGACGGUGAAGUUUACAAUCAAAUGGAUCUCAAGGGGAAGGCUCCAAAGUAAAUUGCAUAGCAUCCUCGUACCUUGACGAGCAAAUUUGUUUAGCAAAUUGGAAAGCCAAGGUUGGCAAAUUCAGAAUUCUUAAGAGUUCCAUAGUGCUGAGAGGCAAGAGGAGAGGCCACUUAUUCCAGUCUACCAGUCCACGGACUACUCCUUGCUUCUCGCUAACUUGUUCCCCACCAUGAGGGGCUCCAAUCACGCAUGGAUAAGCCACCCCAUGGAUAAGCUACAACCCUUGUAAGCAGCCCCCCCCCUUCUACUGUUUAGUUCUGUAAAGGACACAGAAGAAGCCAGAACCACAGGCAGGCUCUGGAAAUAGGCUCAAGGUGUUUGAGGCAGCGAAUUCUGUAGUCUUGGUUUCUUGAAACAUGUGGAAGCUUAAUCUACAUGAUCACAUUAUGGUCUGUGGAAUAUUAAAACCCUGGGGAAAACAAAGAAUUCAAGAGUAGAUCCUCUAGGAAUGAGUCCAAGAUAGAGGCCAUUAUGCCCAGGUCCAAAAAUGGCACCAGAUAGAAAAAGGAGGAAAAGCUAAGGAAGUAAGGAAGACAGAAAGAAUGAUGGUGAGUGAGACU